AUCUAAAUAGCUUAAAUAAAAGCUUAGUAUUGAAGAUACUAUGAUAAGUUUUACUUUUUGGAUA
rnacentral:tRNA from 1 species